GACAGAGGGUGCAAACGUUGCUCGGAAUUACUGGGCGUAAAGCGCGUGUAGGUGGAUUGGUGUGUCAGAUGUGAAAUCCCUGGGUUCAACCCAGGAACUGCACCUGAAACUACCAGUCUUGAGUGGUGGAGAGGGAAGUGGAAUUCCUGGUGUAGAGGUGAAAUUCGUAGAUAUCAGGAGGAACACCAGUGGCGAAGGCGGCUCACUGGCCCGGUACUGACGCUGAGGCGCGAAAGCGUGGGGAGCAAACAGG
rnacentral:rRNA from 1 species